UACGGGGGGGGUAAGCGUUGUUCGGAAUUACUGGGCGUAAAGGGCUCGUAGGCGGCCACCUAAGUCAGACGUGAAAUCCCUCAGCUUAACUGGGGAACUGCGUCUGAUACUGGAUGGCUUGGAUUCGGGAGAGGAAUGCGGAAUUCCAGGUGUAGCGGUGAAAUGCGUAGAUAUCUGGAGGAACACCGGUGGCGAAGGCGGCAUUCUGGACCGAUAUUGACGCUGAGGAGCGAAAGCGUGGGGAGCGAACAGG
rnacentral:rRNA from 1 species